AGAGUUUGAUCCUGGCUCAGGACGAACGCUGGCGGCGUGCCUAAUACAUGCAAGUAGAACGCUGAAGGAGGAGCUUGCUUCUCUGGAUGAGUUGCGAACGGGUGAGUAACGCGUAGGUAACCUGCCUGGUAGCGGGGGAUAACUAUUGGAAACGAUAGCUAAUACCGCAUAAGAGUAGAUGUUGCAUGACAUUUGCUUAAAAGGUGCACUUGCAUCACUACCAGAUGGACCUGCGUUGUAUUAGCUAGUUGGUGGGGUAACGGCUCACCAAGGCGACGAUACAUAGCCGACCUGAGAGGGUGAUCGGCCACACUGGGACUGAGACACGGCCCAGACUCCUACGGGAGGCAGCAGUAGGGAAUCUUCGGCAAUGGACGGAAGUCUGACCGAGCAACGCCGCGUGAGUGAAGAAGGUUUUCGGAUCGUAAAGCUCUGUUGUAAGAGAAGAACGAGUGUGAGAGUGGAAAGUUCACACUGUGACGGUAUCUUACCAGAAAGGGACGGCUAACUACGUGCCAGCAGCCGCGGUAAUACGUAGGUCCCGAGCGUUGUCCGGAUUUAUUGGGCGUAAAGCGAGCGCAGGCGGUUAGAUAAGUCUGAAGUUAAAGGCUGUGGCUUAACCAUAGUAGGCUUUGGAAACUGUUUAACUUGAGUGCAAGAGGGGAGAGUGGAAUUCCAUGUGUAGCGGUGAAAUGCGUAGAUAUAUGGAGGAACACCGGUGGCGAAAGCGGCUCUCUGGCUUGUAACUGACGCUGAGGCUCGAAAGCGUGGGGAGCAAACAGGAUUAGAUACCCUGGUAGUCCACGCUGUAAACGAUGAGUGCUAGGUGUUAGACCCUUUCCGGGGUUUAGUGNAGACAGAUCUAAGAGUUCAAAACCAGCUUUAUUAUUUGAAAAAGUGAGUGGUUUAAGAACAGUUUUCCUCGAACAUUCAAGGCUGUAACAUCGUGUUUAUUUUUAGCGACAUCAAUGCCCACAUAAAGCAUGGGAGUACCUCCAGAUGUAGUAUUUCAAGUCUACUUGGUUAUCCACGAACUUUUUGCCUUGUUACCUUAGACGAGAUAAAACGUCUAUGCGUUAUCAAACUCAUUAUCAAUUGAAACAAAAGCUGUGGUUAGAGCCUUUCGGAAAUCGUCAAGCGAUUGGAGGAAAUGAACUAAUCCACAGUGGCUUAUUCCAAGUAUACCACUUGGGCUUUGGCAGUAGCUAACUGCGCUAAAUAUAAUAUAAGGAGAAAUAGAUGGAUUUAUGGUUUUCUGAAGUUCAUACUCCAGAUGUCAAAUUGUCUCUGAGAACAGCCAAGCAACUUUACGCUGGAAAAAGUGAAUGGCAGGAUAUCGAAGUCUUGGAUACGCCAGCUUUUGGGAAAAUACUGAUUUUAAAUGGCCAUGUCUUGUUCUCAGAUGCGGAUGAUUUCGUCUACAAUGAAAUGACCGUUCACGUUCCCAUGGCUGUCCA
rnacentral:rRNA from 1 species